rnacentral:rRNA from 1 species
GACGAACGCUGGCGGCGUGCCUGACCCAUGCAAGUCGAACGGGGGUGUAGCAAUACACCUUAGUGGCGGACGGGUGAGUAACACGUGAACAAUCUGCCCUGCGCAGGGGGAUAACGUCUGGAAACGGACGCUAAGACCGCAUAAGACCACACUGGGACAUCCCAGAGGGGUCAAAAGAGUAACAUCGGGCGCAGGAUGAGUUCGCGUCCCAUUAGCUAGUUGGUGAGGUAACGGCCCACCAAGGCGACGAUGGGUAGCCGAGCUGAGAGGCUGAACGGCCACACUGGAACUGAGAUACGGUCCAGACUCCUACGGGAGGCAGCAGGGAGGAAUAUUGGGCAAUGGGGGAAACCCUGACCCAGCAACGCCGCGUGAAGGAAGAAGGCCUUCGGGUUGUAAACUUCUGUGACAGGGGAAGAAAGAAAUGACGGUACCCUGAGAGGAAGCCACGGCAAACUACGUGCCAGCAGCCGCCGUAAUAC